ensembl:snRNA U6 U6 spliceosomal RNA
GACAUAUACUAUAAUUGGAAUGACACAGAGAAGAUUAGCAUGGCCCCAGCUCAAGGAUGACCCAAAAAUAGGUGGAACAUUCCAUAAUUUU